AUCACCUGGCCCUCUGGUUAAAAUGCAGAUUCUGGUUCAGUAGCUGGGGGUGGGGCCUGAGAUUCUGCAUUUUUAAUUAGUUCUCCAGUGAUGCUGA
rfam:Macaca mulatta chromosome 1, whole genome shotgun sequence.